AAAAAGAACCUGAAACCGUGUACGUACAAGCAGUGGGAGCACAGGUUUACCUGUGUGACUGCGUACCUUUUGUAUAAUGGGUCAGCGACUUAUAUUCUGUAGCAAGGUUAACCGAAUAGGGGAGCCGUAGGGAAACCGAGUCUUAACCGGGCGUUAAGUUGCAGGGUAUAGACCCGAAACCCGGUGAUCUAGCCAUGGGCAGGUUGAAGGUUGGGU
rnacentral:rRNA from 1 species